rnacentral:rRNA from 1 species
CCUACGGGUGGCAGCAGUGGGGGAUAUUGCACAAUGGGCGAAAGCCUGAUGCAGCGACGCCGCGUGAGGGAAGACGGUCUUCGGAUUGUAAACCUCUGUCUUUGGGGAAGAAAAUGACGGUACCCAAAGAGGACGCUCCGGCAAACUACGUGCCAGGAGCCGCUCUAAUACGUAGGGAGCAAGGUAUGUCCGGAAUUACUGGGUUUAACGUGAGCGUAGGCGGGAGGGCAAUUAGAAUGUUAAAUCCAUCGUCUCAACCGGUGGCUGCGUUCUAAACUGCCGUUCGUGAGUGAAGUAGAGGCAGGCGGAAUGCCUAGUGUAGCGGUGAAAUGCGUAGAUAUUAGGAGGAACACCGGUGGCGAAGGCGGCCUGCGGGGCUUCAACUGACGCUGAGGCUCGAAAGCGUGGGGAGCAAACAGGAUUAGAUACCCUUGUAGUC